GACGAACGCUGGCGGCGUGCUUAACACAUGCAAGUCGAACGGAAAGGCCCUGCUUUUGUGGGGUGCUCGAGUGGCGAACGGGUGAGUAACACGUGAGUAACCUGCCCUUGACUUUGGGAUAACUUCAGGAAACUGGGGCUAAUACCGGAUAGGAGCUCCUGCUGCAUAGUGGGGGUUGGAAAGUUUCGGCGGUUGGGGAUGGACUCGCGGCUUAUCAGCUUGUUGGUGGGGUAGUGGCUUACCAAGGCUUUGACGGGUAGCCGGCCUGAGAGGGUGACCGGCCACAUUGGGACUGCGGUACGGCCCAGACUCCUACGGGAGGCAGCAGUGGGGAAUAUUGCACAAUGGGCGGAAGCCUGAUGCAGCAACGCCGCGUGCGGGAUGACGGCCUUCGGGUUGUAAACCGCUUUCGCCUGUGACGAAGCGUGAGUGACGGUAAUGGGUAAAGAAGCACCGGCUAACUACGUG
rnacentral:rRNA from 1 species